rnacentral:rRNA from 1 species
UACGUAAUCCCUAAGUGGUUUCCACUUGUAUUGGGCCUAAAACACCUGUAGCUGGUAGUUCGAGUCUUUGGUGAAAUCAAUCGGCUUAACCGAUUGAAUGUCUAAAGAUACUGUUCUGCUUGGGGAAGUGAGACGUAAAGGGAAUUUAUAGGGUAGCGGUGAAAUGCGAUGAUCCUAUAAGGACCUCCAGUAGCGAAGGCGCUUUACGAGAACUAUCCCGACAGUGAGAGAUGAAAGCUGGGGGAGCGACAAG